CUUGUACUCCCUCCGUCCGAAAAUACUUGUCAUUGAAAUGGAUGUGUCUAGAUGUAUUUUAAUUAUAGACACAUCCAUUUUGAUGACAAGUAAUUCUGGACGGAGGGAGUACUUG
rnacentral:pre_miRNA from 1 species